CCUACGGGGGGCUGCAGGCGCGAAAACUUUACAAUGCGGGAAACCGUGAUAAGGGAACCUCGAGUGCCUGUAUAUGCAGGCUGUCCAGGUGUCUAAAAAACACCUGAAGAAAGGGCCGGGCAAGACCGGUGCCAGCCGCCGCGGUAAUACCGGCGGCUCGAGUGGUGGCCACUUUUAUUGGGCUUAAAGCGUUCGUAGCUGGGUUGUUAAGUCUCUUGGGAAAUCUGACGGCUCAACCGUCAGGCGUCCAAGGGAUACUGGCAAUCUUGGAACCGGGAGAGGUGAGGGGUACUUCGGGGGUAGGAGUGAAAUCCUGUAAUCCUCGAGGGACCACCUGUGGCGAAGGCGCCUCACCAGAACGGCUUCGACAGUGAGGGACGAAAGCUGGGGGAGCAAACCGGAUUAGAUACCCUAGUAGUC
rnacentral:rRNA from 1 species